rnacentral:lncRNA from 10 species
AGGGCCAAGAAGACCUCAGGCGUCUUGAGUAAGUAGGCGUCCUCCACCCACACUCAGAGCAAAAGGCUCCCAUUUUAAAUAUCGCACGGUGACGUCAUCCUGGGACCUCGUCACCGCGGCGGCUGCUCCUCAAGUUCUACUUUGUUCCACAAGGCUCCUCUGCUCACGGCUGCGUGGAUAAAACCCAAAGGGAAUCCAGAAUCAAGCUCGGCCUCGCAGGAGUUUAUAACUUUUGUACUUUUCCCUCCCUUGUAACGAAAAGCUAAUCGCAAACGUUUCUAGGAACACAUUUUUCUCCUGAUAGACGUUCCCAAGGUGGAGGGCGCGAGAAGACUGGCCCGUGGGGUGAGGAGCCCCGGCCCGACCUCAGCGGCGCCACAAAGCCAUGAAGAGGGGAAAUAAUUUUCCAAGGGGCUAAGAGUUGGACUUUCUGAAGCCAUCGAAACCUGCUGCUAGGCUCUCCCGCUGGGGUUUUGAGAGAGGUCUCUCCACGCUGCACUUGACACCCUCAGGGCGGAAUGGCGAGUUCUAGACCCAGCUCUCUAGACCCGGGGCUUCAUGGGGGACACGGACUCGACGGGAAGGGGAACUUGGCAUUUAUGGACAGAUCCUCAUCCUUCUUGCUGUAGUCAAUUACACGCACGUUAACCGUGCAGCCGCCCUGCUGUAUUUUAGGCGGUUGUUGGCACUCCUAGUUGGGCCCUUCCCUGGCCCCUCACAGCAGGGCCUGCCUCCUGUGGACGCUUGUGUGCUGCCCUGGCACCGGCCACUGUGUUUUGCAUAAAGGAGAGGCUCCAAAGAUGUUGGCCAAAGGAAUGAAGCCUUGAGAGUCCAGGCUUUCUAUUUCUGAGACACUCUACUCAAGGACUUCCCAGAUGCAAAGCUUCAUCUUUGAGCAAAUACAAAUAUGGAGAGGGAACAUUAACUUUCUGAAGAAAAGAAGGAACAUCUUUUCAACCUUUUAUAUUGAGUUAACACCAUGGUCUUAGUUUUGUGAAAGCACUUUAAUACAUCCAACUAGCGGGAGGAAUACAAGAUAUUCCUACCUUUUUAUUAUUAUUAUUAAAAGAGGGCUAAACCAUGUUGUAAACUACUUAAGAACUGAAUGUUCAAGUUGUACAGUAUAUUGGCCAGAUUCCUUACUGCCCACUAGGCUUGGGAGCAUGUUUUCAGCUCAGUUUUAUGAAUGUUUUAAAUUUGUAUUACUGAUCUUUGUUAUAGCCAAUUAGCAAUUCAAAAUGGUAAUUUUUUUAGCAGUAAUAAAUAUACCAUCC